rnacentral:sRNA from 1 species
CCUGUGGAGUGUUGAUGAACCUGUAGUAGCGAGUAUUUGGCGAGGCAGAGCACGUUGAAACAGGAA